GUAGGUGAACCUGCGGAAGGAUCAUUAUCACGUAUCCACGUUAUAAACCAAUGUUGAACUAGUCUUUAAAACCUUUGGAAAUUUUGCUUAAUGGAGUGUAUAUUUAAACAUUUAAACGUUUUGUAAAGUGAUUAAACGUCGUUUAAAUAUAUCAACAAUUUCGAUUGUACAUUAACUUUUCUAAAGUUGUAUUAAUCACUUUAUUUAGAUAAAUACAAAUUACGAAACUAAAAGAACAACUCUUAGCAACGGAUAUCUUGGUUCUC
rnacentral:misc_RNA from 1 species